ACGGAUCUUGCCAGAUUGAACGCUGGCGACGCCACGGCAAGUCGUGAACGGCAGCAUUUGACUUUCGGUCUGGUAUGCGGCUGAACCAUGAGUAAUGUAUCGAACGGGUCAUUUAGUAGCGGGAUAAUCACGCGAAAGCGAAGCACACCGUAUACGCCCUGGUAAGCGGGGACCCUGGCCUCGCAAUUAUUAGAGCGGGUUGAUAUCGGAUUAGCCAGUUGGUGGGCAUCAUCACCGCUGCGGAUGAUCUAGUAGCUGGUUUGAGAGGACGACCAGCCACACUGGGACUGAGACACGGCCUAGACUUUACGGAGGAGCAGCAGGGGUAAUUUUUGACAAUGGGGGAAAUCCCUGAUCCAGCCACCCCCGCGUGCGAUGAAGGCUUUCGGUUGUAAAAGCACUUUUGGUAUGAAGAAACCAGCACGGAUAUCACCCUGUGCAACUGACGGUACCUGCAGAAUAGCUGACUGCUAACUACGUGCCAGCAAAGCAGCCGCGGUAAUACGUAGGGUGCAAGCGUUAAUCGGAAUAUUGCCAGGUAGUGCUGCGCAGGCGGUUCGGGAAGAAAGAUGUGAAAUCCCAGAGCUAACUUUGGAACCGCAUUUUUUAACUACCGAGCUAGAGUGCAAAGUCAGAGGGGGGAGGUGGAAUUCCGCGUGGCAGAGAAAUGCAGAUAUGGAGUGAACACCGAUGGCGAAGGUAGCCUUCUGGGAUAACACUGACGCUCAUGCACGAAAGCGUGGGGGAGUAAAUAGAUGAUACCCGGUAGUCCACGCCCAAACGAUGUCAAUCUAGUUGUUGGGGCCUUUUCGGGUUUUGGUAAGUGGUGCCAUCGCGUGGAAGUUGACCGCCUGAGUACGGUCGCAAGAUUAAAAACUCAAAGGAAUUGAUUUGGGACGGCACAAGGUGAUGAUGAUUGACUGAUGCAACGCGAAAAAACCUUACUCAAUUUUUGACAUGUCUGAAUCCUGAAGAGAUUUGGGAAUGCUUCGCAGAGAACCGAAACACAGGCGCGCGGCGGCUGUCGUCAGCUCGUGUCGCAUGCCAAGUCCCGCAACGAGCGCAACCCUUGUCAUUAGUUGCUACGAAAGGCACUCUAAUGAGAUCAAGCCGGUGACAAACUGAGUGUGAAGGUGAAGAUGACGUCAAGUCUCAUGGCCCUUAUGGGUAGGGGCUUCACACGUCAUACAAUGAGCCGGGACAGAGGGUCGCUAACCCGCGAGGGGAGCUAAUCCCAGAACCUGAUCGUAGUCCGAUCGCAGUCUGCAACCUCCGACUGUGUGAAGUCGGAAUCGCCAGUAAUCAUGAUCAGCAUGUCGCGGUGAAUACGUUCUGGUCUGGUACACACUGCCUGGGCCACAUGAGUGGGCUUUACCAGAAGUAGUUAAUUAAACUGCAGGAGUGGCGAUUACCACGGUAGGAUUCAUGACUGGGGUGAAGUCGCACAGAAGGCAG
rnacentral:rRNA from 1 species